AUUGAACGCUGGCGGCAGGCCUAACACAUGCAAGUCGAGCGGAGCGGCGGACGGGUGGGUAAUACCUAGGAAUCUGCCUGGGAGUGGGGGAUAACGUUAGGAAACGGACGCUAAUACCGCAUACUAUCAGAUGAGCCUAGGUCGGAUUAGCUAGUUGGUGAGGUAAUGGCUCACCAAGGCUACCGUCCGGACCUGGUCUGAGUGGAUGAUCAGGCAGACUGGAACUGGGAAAAGGUCCAGAGUCCUACGGGAGGCAGCAGGGGGGAAGAUUUGACAAUGGGCGAAAGCCUGAUCCAGCCAUGCCGCGUGGUUGAAGAAGGUCUUCGGAUUGGAAAGCAAUUUAAGUUGGGAGGCGUUACCGACCGACUAAACACCGGCUAACGCUGUGCCAGCAGCCGCGGUAAUAC
rnacentral:rRNA from 1 species